rnacentral:rRNA from 1 species
GACGAACGCUGGCGGCGUGCCUAAUACAUGCAAGUUGAGCGAUGAAGCUUGGUGCUUGCACCAAUUUGAAGAGCAGCGAACGGGUGAGUAACGCGUGGGGAAUCUGCCUUUGAGCGGGGGACAACAUUUGGAAACGAAUGCUAAUACCGCAUAACAACUUUAAACAUAAGUUUUAAGUUUGAAAGAUGCAAUUGCAUCACUCAAAGAUGAUCCCGCGUUGUAUUAGCUAGUUGGUGAGGUAAAGGCUCACCAAGGCGAUGAUACAUAGCCGACCUGAGAGGGUGAUCGGCCACAUUGGGACUGAGACACGGCCCAAACUCCUACGGGAGGCAGCAGUAGGGAGUCUUCGGCAAUGGACGAAAGUCUGACCGAGCAACGCCGCGUGAGUGAAGAAGGUUUUCGGAUCGUAAAACUCUGUUGGUAGAGAAGAACGUUGGUGAGAGUGGAAAGCUCAUCAAGUGACGGUAACUACCCAGAAAGGGACGGCUAACUACGUG